rnacentral:rRNA from 1 species
UCUUUAUUUUAAAAAUUUUAUUACUUAAGUAGUGUGAACGUUUUAUUUUUGAAAUAUAUAUAUGUGUUAAUAUUGAAUGUUUUAAACUUAAAAGGCUUGGCGGUGUUAUACAUCCUUCCAGAGGAGUUUGCUUAUUAAUUUGAUAAUCCUCAAUUUAUACUUACUUUUUUUUGAAAUAAAUAAGUAUAUUUAUUUAAUCAGUUUGUAUAUUGCUGUCAUUAGUUUAUUUUGUAAAAAUUUUAUAAGAAACUUAAUAAUUUUAUAAUUAUUAUGUCAAGUCAAAAUGCAGCUAAUAAAAAAGGUUUAUAAAGUGAACUACAGUUUAUAAUUUUUUAGGUCGGAUUAGAUUAUGUAAUUAAUUUAUGAAGUUGGAUUUGGUAGUAAUAAUAUAAUAGGUGAGUUUUUAUGAAUUAGGUUU